AUAAUUGUUUAGUCUGCUGCUUAGUUUUCUCCCGUGCGCAGGAGCAAGCUCUUAUCUACCUGCGUAUUAAGCCUUGUCAGGUCGACGACCAGAAGCAAAUGGAGUGCCCAAACUGUUUAGACACUAAAGGUUUGUGCGACAAGGAUGGAUUGGACGAUAAUUACUUCCACCUAACACUUCCAGAGGACUUCAAACUUGUGACGCGCAUCCCCUGCUUUGCAAGGGGUGAACUACUAAAGAAGUUGAAGGUUGCCAGGGAUGAGGAGACCACCACGACCACCUUCCUUAAGACGAAAGAAGGCUUUUGUUUCAAGGUUAUGAUCCAAAAUGAAAAAGAUCGAAGCUUUUUCGGUUUCAAUUGUCCUAAUUGGACAUCAUUUUCCAAAGCAUACAAUUUCGAGGUUGGGAUGGAACUAUGCUUAUAUAUUGGCCAAAAACUGAUUGUGACAUUUGGGUGGACUUGGACAAGCUUCCAAUUAUUCCUCCAUGUUAUUUCUUAGUGCCAAGAGAAACUCAGAGGAUGGUAGAUCACAUGUAUUAUACUACUGGCACCACAAUUACAUGGGAAGAGAUGGAGGAGGUCAUAAGAUUUCUGGAUGUCAUCGAGGACGGCGUGAGGCAUUACCAUUCCGGAACCACCAUUGGACCAUAUGUGCCACUAGCGCACAUCUUGAACAUGAGAAACAUUAAUAAGAAGUACCUGAAAAUCCCAAGACCAUGUGUGCCUCCGCAAAUGCCUGCUAAUGGUGACAUGCAAAUCAUUGUCCAUGACAAAACAAACUUCACAGGCACCUACUCGACUUCAGCAGAUGAUGGAUGCGUCUUCAUCAAUGGGUGGAAGCAUCUACUUGAGACCUACCAUAUAGAAAUCGGGGAUAGGUUGAUCGCAGUGCUACACCAUGGACCUCGAGGACCUUUCCUCUUUCUCACCUCCAUAUUUGAUGGUGUUUUAGAGUAUCAUAAAACAUGAAUAUCGUUUAUGGUUAAAUCUAAAUGUGCUUUAUGGUUUUGUUGGAAAUAUGCCCUAGAUGCAAUAACGAAGUUGUU